UCGAGCGAGUCUGCCUUGAAGAUCGGAGUGCUUGCACUCUGUGAAACAAGAUACAGGCUAGCGGCGGACGGGUGAGUAACACGUGGGUAACCUGCCCAAGAGAUCGGGAUAACACCUGGAAACAGAUGCUAAUACCGGAUAACAACAGAUGAUGCCUAUCAACUGUUUAAAAGAUGGUUCUGCUAUCACUCUUGGAUGGACCUGCGGUGCAUUAGCUAGUUGGUAGGGUAACGGCCUACCAAGGCGAUGAUGCAUAGCCGAGUUGAGAGACUGAUCGGCCACAUUGGGACUGAGACACGGCCCAAACUCCUACGGGAGGCAGCAGUAGGGAAUCUUCCACAAUGGACGCAAGUCUGAUGGAGCAACGCCGCGUGAGUGAAGAAGGGUUUCGGCUCGUAAAGCUCUGUUGUUGGUGAAGAAGGACAGGGGUAGUAACUGACCUUUGUUUGACGGUAAUCAAUUAGAAAGUCACGGCUAACUACGUGCCAGCAGCCGCGGUAAUACGUAGGUGGCAAGCGUUGUCCGGAUUUAUUGGGCGAAAAGCGAGUGCAGGCGGUUCGAUAAGUCUGAUGUGAAAGCCUUCGGCUCAACCGGAGAAUUGCAUCAGAAACUGUCGAGCUUGAGUACAGAAGAGGAGAGUGGAACUCCAUGUGUAGCGGUGAAAUGCGUAGAUAUAUGGAAGAACACCGGUGGCGAAGGCGGCUCUCUGGUCUGUUACUGACGCUGAGGCUCGAAAGCAUGGGUAGCGAACAGGAUUAGAUACCCUGGUAGUCCAUGCCGUAAACGAUGAGUGCUAAGUGUUGGGAGGUUUCCGCCUCUCAGUGCUGCAGCUAACGCAUUAAGCACUCC
rnacentral:rRNA from 1 species